rnacentral:rRNA from 1 species
AUGGAUGUAGGCGACGCCAUCAUCUCCUCCGGUUUCCACGCGUCAGUCUACAUGGGCUCCGGUUUCCAGAGGUGCUUCUAUGACAAGGAGUUGCCACAAGAUCCAUUGUUGCGCGCGGAAGCGAUCCGAACGGAAAGGUCUCCUCUGAAGCCGCGCGCACACAUGCAAGCAGCGGCUCCGCUUCCUCCGGCCGUGCGCGUAAGCCCAUGGCUGACACCUUCCCGAUGCGAUCUACAUCAACACCAUGGGCGGUCAGCAGCCAGCCGCGCGUACGAGUGCGUCGACGGUCGGGACUCUCGCCUCCACGUCUCUCCUCCAUCGAGCGACCUCAUCGACCGCACAAUCAGCCCCAGCCUCCAAGCUACUUCGAUUCGCGGUGCAUGCAUGCACCAACGGAGGAAAGCAAAGCCACAAGCGUCUACAACAAUCCAGCCGGGGCAUCCGUGCGCAUCUAGCGCGCGUGCAAAACGGGAGGGACACGCACCAGGCGAGAUCCCAGGCGCGACAACGCGUACACCAGGAGGGUGUCACGAGCUUGACCUGAUCUGCAUCGAGGACCGCCGUCAACUACAGCCGCGCGACUCCAUCGACUCUGAGGCAUGCACGUUUCGGGCUGCUUCUCCGCGCCACGCACGACCCGCACCGACAGCUUUAAUCGAUCGGAUCUCGAGUCGUCAACUACGCCUCCGAGCGUACACCGAUCGUAGCUACAUCGACUUCUUCUGUUCCGGACUACUUCAACAGCGAUCUGCACCGAGCCAGAUUCCAAACCACGCACAUGGCGGACGUCUAUACACAACCGACCCAGCCUGCAACUAUGUCGGCUACACCGACCUCGAUCCGAGCCUGCAUCAACCUUGCGUCUGCAUCGACCGAACAUCUCGCUGUACGACUAUGCCAGGCUACGAGCCAACAUAUUUCUUCACGGCAUCGACACCCGUCGCCUCGAGGGACACCUCCAAGCGACGCAUCAUUGUCGACGCGCCAUUGCGACGCCGUGGCCGACACUUCAUCGCCAAGGUCUUCAUCAACGUCGACUUCACCAACAUCUUCAUCAACACACCGCCGCCACCUUGUCCACAAGAUGGACACCUAGCGUCCUCUGACAGAAUUUUCUGCAAGACGCGACCACGACGACGGCAACGACCGCGUCACAACGAUGGCAUCGACCGCGUCAUCCACGACGGCACGACUGCAUCGACACGGCGACACUACAGUGACGACCCUACACGGUCACACGGUUCUGGCAAAACCGAUGUGUGCUCGAUGGGCUUCCUUCGGUCUUGGCAAAACCGGUGGACUCAUCACCGAUGGCACCCUCUGACAUCCACAAGGUGCAUCAUCCAUGUCUGCAGCUCUGUCAUAGCGCUUUUUUUUUGCGCCUCCGGCUCUGUGCGGCUUCAUCAUCCACGACGACUACAUCAUCGACCACGACUACAUCGACCACGGCUACAUCACCAUGAUCGGCUACAUCGACAUCAACAUUAA